CGCCGUCGCCUUCAUCAAAUUCUCUACCUAUUUCGCCAUCGCCUCCAUCGAUUUCUCAGCCGAGGUCCCGUCGUCGUGUCUCCAUCAUGAUUUUUCUCAAUUUGGUUUCGUUUAUAUACAUAAAUCAGGGGUAAGGAUAGCCAAGGUGAAGAGGUUAUUAAACCAUACACACCAACCACUCUAGAUGCCGAUGUUGGAUACUUUGAGUUGGUUAUUAAGAUGUAUCCACAAGGUAGGAUGUCCCACCAUUCCCGAGAGAUGCGUGAAGGUACAUUAACUCUCCAAUAAUUAUAUAUAAUGUGUGAG